rnacentral:rRNA from 1 species
UAGGGAAUCUUCGGCAAUGGACGAAAGUCUGACCGAGCAACGCCGCGUGAGUGAAGAAGGUUUUCGAAUCGUAAACUCUGUUGGUAGAGAAGAACGUUGGUGAGAGUGGAAAGCUCAUCAAGUGACGGUAACUACCCAGAAAGGGACGGCUAACUACGUGCUAG